GUAGUUAGCCGGGGCUUCCUCCUUGGCUACCGUCACUUUCUUCGUCACCAAGGACAGAGGUUUACAACCCGAAAGCCUUCUUCCCUCACGCGGCGUUGCUGGGUCAGGCUUGCGCCCAUUGCCCAAUAUUCCCCACUGCUGCCUCCCGUAGGAGUCUGGACCGUGUCUCAGUUCCAGUGUGGCCGUUCAGCCUCUCAGCUCGGCUACCCAUCGUCGACUUGGUGGGCCGUUACCCCGCCAACUAUCUAAUGGGACGCGAACUCACCCCAAACCGGAUUGCUCCUUUUACCUCAAAGUCAUGUGACCUCGUGGUCUUAUGCGGUAUUAGCACCUGUUUCCAAGUGUUAUCCCCCUGUCUGGGACAGAUUGUUCACGCGUUACUCACCCGUCCGCCGCUAAGGUAUUGUCAACACUCAUUACUGGUUUAUUUCCUCUCUCCCCAGUAAUCAGUGCCAACAAUGCCUCCGCUCGACUUGCAUGUGUUAAGCACGCCGCCAGCGUUCGUCCUGAGCCAGAAUCGAACCCUGA
rnacentral:rRNA from 1 species